CCUACGGGUGGCAGCAGUCGAGAAUCAUUCACAAUGGGGGAAACCCUGAUGGUGCGACGCCGCGUGGGGGAAUGAAGGUCUUCGGAUUGUAAACCCCUGUCAUGUGGGAGCAAAGUAAAAAGAUAGUACCACAAGAGGAAGAGCCGGCUAACCCUGUGCCAGCAGCCGCGGUAAUACAGAGGUCUCAAGCGGUGUUCGGAAUCACUGGGCGUAAAGUGUGCGUGGGCGGUUUCGUAAGUCGGGUGGGAAAGGUGCGGGCUAAAACCGCGGCCGGCACAUGAUACUGCGAGACUAGAGUAAUGGAGGGGGAACCGGAAGUCUCGGUGUAGCAGUGAAAUGCGUAGAUAUCGCGAGGAACACUCGUGGCGAAGGCGGGUUCCUGGACAUUAACUGACGCUGAGGCGCGAAGGCCAGGGGAGCGAAAGGGAUUAGAUACCCUGGUAGUC
rnacentral:rRNA from 1 species